GCCAGUGGCAUAGUGGUUUGGGUUUUGGAUCAGGAAUCUGGGAAACCAGGGUUCAAAUCCCUGCUCAGUCA